rnacentral:lncRNA from 1 species
UUUUUUUUGGGUUUGGUUUUGGUUUGUUUUGUAGUACUGGGGAUCAAACCAGGGUCUCACACCUGCUAGGCAUGUGCUCUACCACUGAGCUACAUCCCCAACCCUUUUUAUUUUAUUUCAUUCAGUGUCUUACUAAGUAGCUCAAGCCAACUUUGAACUUGUGAUGGUCUUGCCUCAACCUCCCAAAUAGUUGGAAUUACAGAUUUGCACUACUGUAUCCAACUAAUGAUUAGGAAGCUUUUAUCCUGUCACAGAUAACAUAGGUAUCUAUCCUCUAGGGGCAAAUGAGAUGGGAAUAAUGAAAGCACAAUAAAGAAUGCUAAAUAAUGAAAAGGUGUGGAGGUUAUGCAGUCAGUUCAGGUUGCAAGCUCGGGGAGAUGGAGAAUGAGGAAACUGACCUGAGUCUGGAAGGAGAGGCCAGGUGGGUACCAGGGAGCACAGAGGGCUGGGUAAGGGGCACAAGAAGAGCACAAGCAGGAGCAAUCCUGUUCUUAGACAUCAAAAACCAACUACAUAGGAGCUGGGGUUGUGGCUCAGAGGUAGAGCUCUUGCCUAGCAUGUGUGAGGCCCUGGUUUCGAUCCUCAGCACCACAUAAAAAUAAAUAAAUAAAAUAAAGGUAUUGUGUCCAACUACAAUUGAAAAAUAAAUAUUUUUAAAAAAUUGUUUAAAAAAAAAGCCAACUACCAAGUUCAAAUUCUUUCUGGUGUGGAACUCCCUGCCGACAUUUCUGGCAAGCAGUGUCCCAGAAUCAUCUCGAACAUCCCCAGGAAUGGAGAGCUUAUUGCCUCCCGAGACAGCCCAUUUCAUUUAUGAGCAUCUGCUUUUCCUUCCUCUGAG